rnacentral:rRNA from 1 species
GACGAACGCUGGCGGCGUGCCUAAUACAUGCAAGUCGAGCGCAGGAAAUCGACGGAACCCUUCGGGGGGAAGUCGACGGAAUGAGCGGCGGACGGGUGAGUAACACGUAAAGAACCUGCCCUCAGGUCUGGGAUAACCACGAGAAAUCGGGGCUAAUACCGGAUGGGUCAUCGGACCGCAUGGUCCGAGGAUGAAAGGCGCUUCGGCGUCGCCUGGGGAUGGCUUUGCGGUGCAUUAGCUAGUUGGUGGGGUAAUGGCCCACCAAGGCGACGAUGAAUAGCGGACCUGAGAGGGUGACCGGCCACACUGGGACUAAGAAACGGCCCAGACGCCUACGGGAGGCAGCAGUAGGGAAUCUUCCACAAUGGACGAAAGUCUGAUGGAGCAACGCCGCGUGAACGAUGAAGGCCUUCGGGUCGUAAAGUUCUGUUGUAAGGGAAGAACAAGUGCCGCAGGCAAUGGCGGCACCUUGACGGUACCUUGCGAGAAAGCCACGGCUAACUACGUGCCAGCAGCCGCCGUAA